rnacentral:other from 1 species
AGGGUCCUGAGUUGCACGUACAGACCAACGGUUUUGAGCCAACAUUUUCACGUUGGGAGCCUCGAGUUGUUCUGGUGGAAAGAACACGCCUUAUACAUAGAGGAAGUUCGGCCUAUCAGACAGGGCACCCACCUGCCUGGGCAGGUUCAAAGCGAGUUUAUGUUACGGUAUACAUGGGACUCUU